rnacentral:lncRNA from 1 species
UUUAAGCUCCACAAAAGCAGGGAGUAUGGGUUGUGCACCCCUGAUACUGACUGCUUAUGUCAAGGAUUGACGCAUAGCAGAUCAGCCCUGAGCGAACAUCUGCUGCCAAUCUGCCUCUUUUUGCUGAGGAAGACUGGCCCUGAGCUAACAUCAGUGCCCAUCUUCUUCUACUUUAUAUGUGGGACGCCUGCCACAGCAUGGCUUGACAAGCAGUGCAUUGGUCCCCACCUGGGAUUCAAACUGGUGAACCCCCGGCCUCAGAAGCGGAACAUAUAACAAAAGAUCCAGUUAAAACAUUAGCAUUGGAACACUGAAUGCAAG